UACGGGAGCUUCGGCUCAUUUGAGAGGUUGAGAGGAUAAGAUCAAUGGCAACUGGUACUGUUAAGUGGUUCAACGAUUCCAAGGGUUACGGCUUCAUCACCCCGGAUGACGGCAGCGAAGAUCUGUUCGCCCAUUUCUCGGCGAUCCAGAUGGGUGGUUUCAAGACCCUGAAGGAAGGCCAGAAGGUGUCUUUCGACGUGACCCAGGGCCCGAAGGGCAAGCAGGCCGCAAACAUCCAGGCAGCCUGAUUCCCGUACUCUGGAAUCAAAAGCAAAAAACCCGGCGCAAGCCGGGUUUUUUGUU
rnacentral:other from 1 species